AUAGAUUGAGAUUGUAGCUGGCUUCUGUUAAUGAAGUAAUGUGCACAUCUCAUUUUGUUAUCCAAACUUUGUACCUCUGUGCACAUCGCAUGAGUUUGAGUUGUUAUUUGAAAAUAUGACAUAACGUAUCUCAGCUCAUGUGCUUUUAAUAUACACCUGUUUGUUUGAAGAAUGUUGUUAUUUUGUGCUUUAAUUGCAUGUAUAAAUAUAACUUUCAGCAACGGAUCUCUUGGCUCUCGCAUCGAUGAAGAACGCAGCGAAAUGCGAUAAGUAAUGUGAAUUGCAGAAUUCAGUGAACCAUCGAAUCUUUGAACGCACCUUGCACUCCUUGGUAUUCCGAGGAGUAUGUCUGUUUGAGUGUCAUGGUAUUUUCAACUCCUUUCACAUUUGUGUCAGGUAAGAUUGGACUUUGGAGGCUUGUUUUUGCUGGACCUUUUGGUUUGGCUCCUCUAAAUUUUAUUAGCUUGAACAGUAUGUUCACUAAGCAUGAUUUGGCAUGAUAAUAAGUUUAUGUCUUUUUAUGCUGAUGUGUUUCUAUUGAUUUCAAGCUUUUGCAAGAUGUCUCUUUUAUAAUUUUUUUGGAGACUCACUUUGAAACAUUUGACCUCAAAUCAGAUAGGACUACCCGCUGAACUUAAGCAUAUCAAUAAGCGGAGGAAAAGAAACUAACAAGGAUUCCCUUAGUAACUGCGAGUGAAGUGGGAAAAGCUCAAAUUUGAAAUCUGGCAGCUUUGUUGCCCGAGUUGUAGUCUAGAGAAGUGUUUUCUGUGCUGGACCAUGUACAAGUCUCUUGGAAUAGAGCGUCAUAGAGGGUGAGAAUCCCGUCUUUGACAUGGACUGCCAGUGCUCUGAGAUGCGCUCUCAACGAGUCGAGUUGUUUGGGAAUGCAGCUCAAAAUGGGUGGUAAAUUCCAUCUAAAGCUAAAUAUUGGCGAGAGACCGAUAGUGAACAAGUACCGUGAGGGAAAGAUGAAAAGCACUUUGGAAAGAGAGUUAAACAGUACGUGAAAUUGCUGAAAGGGAAACACUUGAAGUCAGUCAUGUUGGUCAGAACUCAGCCUGAUUUUUGUCCGGUGCAUUUUCUGAUUGACAGGUCAGCAUCAAUUUUGACUGCUGGAUAAAGACCUAGGAAAUGUGGCAUCUUUGGGUGUGUUAUAGUCUUUGGUCACAUACAGUGGUUGGGAUUGAGGAUCUCAGUAUGCCUUACAGGUCGGGGUUUACUCACGUUCAUACUUAGGAUGCUGGCGUAAUGGCUUUAAAUGACCCGUCUUGAAACACGGACCAAGGAGUCUAACAUACCUGCGAGUGUUUGGGUGGAAAACCCGAGUGCAUAAUGAAAGUGAAAGUUGGGAUCUCUGUCGUGGAGAGCACUGACGCCCGGACCAGACCUUUUGUGAUGGAUCUGCGGUAGAGCAUGUAUGUUGGGACCCGAAAGAUGGUGAACUAUGCCUGAAUAGGGUGAAGCCAGAGGAAACUCUGGUGGAGGCUCGUAGCGAUUCUGACGUGCAAAUCGAUCGUCAAAUUUGGGUAUAGGGGCGAAAGACUAAUCGAACCAUCUAGUAGCUGGUUCCUGCCGAAGUUUCCCUCAGGAUAGCAGAAACUCAUGUCAGAUUUAUGUGGUAAAGCGAAUGAUUAGAGGCCUUGGGGUUGAAACAACCUUAACCUAUUCUCAAACUUUAAAUAUGUAAGAACGAGCUGUCACUUGAUUGGACUGCUCGGUGAUUGAGAGUUUCUAGUGGGCCAUUUUUGGUAAGCAGAACUGGCGAUGCGGGAUGAACCGAACGCAAGGUUAAGGUGCCGGAAUGCACGCUCAUCAGACACCACAAAAGGUGUUAGUUCAUCUAGACAGCAGGACGGUGGCCAUGGAAGUCGGAAUCCGCUAAGGAGUGUGUAACAACUCACCUGCCGAAUGAACUAGCCCUGAAAAUGGAUGGCGCUCAAGCGUGCUACCCAUACCUUGCCGUCAGUGUUGAAGUGACACACUGACGAGUAGGCAGGCGUGGAGGUUUGUGAAGAAGCCUAGGCAGUGAUGCUGGGUGAAACAGCCUCUAGUGCAGAU
rnacentral:rRNA from 1 species